rnacentral:rRNA from 1 species
AGUUUGACUGGGCGCCUGGGGAUUAGAACGCUGGCGGAUGCUUUACACAUGCAAGUCGAACGGCAGCACGGACUUCGGUCAGUGGCGAGUGGCGAACGGGUGAGUACCGUAUCGGAACGUGCCUUAGUAUGGGGAUAACUACGCUGGUGUUGCAGCUAAUACCGCAUGCCGCCCUUCGGGGGGGAGCGGGGACCUUCGGGCCUCGCACUAUUAGAGCGGCUGAUAUCGGACAGCUAGGUUGGUGGGGUAACGGUGGCUCACCAAGGACGAUCCGUAGCUGUUGGUUUCGAGAGGACGACCAGCCACACUGGGACCGAGACACGCCCAGACUCCUACGGAGGCAGCAGUGGGAAUUUUGACAAUGGGGAAAACCCGAUCCAGCCAUCCUGCGUGUGCGACGAAGGCCUUCAAGUUGUAAAGAUCUUUGGCAGGAAAGAAACGCACGGGGAUAUCACCCUGUAACUGACGGUACCUGUAAUAAGCACCGGCGAAUUAAUGUGCCAGCAGCCAAGGUAACAUGUAGGGUGCUGACGGAACACGGGCGUAAAGCGUGCGCAGGCGUUCGAAAGAAAGAUGUGGAACCAGAGCUUAACUUUGGAACCGCAUUUCUUUAACUACUGAGUUAGAGUGUGUCAGAGGAGGUGGAAUUUCGCGUGUAGCGGGUGAAAUGCGUAGAUAUGCGGAGGAACACCGAUGGCGAAGGCAGCCUCCUGGGAUAACACUGACGCCUGCGCAUCGAGCAGAGCAAACAGGAUUAGAUACCCUGGUAGUCCACGCCCUAAACGGUGUCAACUAGCUGUUGGGGCCUUCGGGCCUUGGUAGCGCAGCUAACGUUAUGCUGACCGCCUGGGGAGUACGGUCGCAAGAUUAAAACUCAGCGAAUUGACGGGGACUCCGCACAAGCGGAUGAUGUGGAUUAAUUCGAUGCAACGCGAAAAACCUUUACCUACCCUUGACAUUGCCUGGAAUCCGAAGAUUUGGGAGUGCUCGCAAGAGAACCGAACACACAGGCGCUGCAUGGCUGUCGUCAGCUCGUGUCGUGAGAUGUUGGGUUAAGUCCCGCAACGAGCGCAACCUUUGUUAGCAGCAUGAAAGGGCACUCUAAUGAGACUGCCGGUGACAAACCGGAGGAAGGUGGGGAUGACGUCAAGUCCCUACAUGGCCCUUUCUUAUGGGUAGGGCUUCAAUACGUCAUACAAUGGUCGGGACACAGAGGGUCACCAACCCGCGAGGGGGAGCUAAUCCCAGAAACCCGAUCGUAGUCCGGAUCGCAGUCUGCAACUCGACUGCGUGAAGUCGGAAUCGCUAGUAAUCGCGGAUCAGCAUGUCGCGGUGAAUACGUUCCCGGGUCUUGUACACACCGCCCGUCACACCAUGGGAGUGGGUUUUACCAGAAGUGAAGUUAGCUUAACCGUGGUGAGGGCGAUUACCACGGUAGGAUUCAUGACUGGGGUGAAGUCGUAACAAGGUAG